UGACCUCGGAUCAGGUAGGGAUACCCGCUGAACUUAAGCAUAUCAAUAAGCGGAGGAAAAGAAACCAACAGGGAUUGCCUCAGUAACGGCGAGUGAAGCGGCAACAGCUCAAAUUUGAAAUCUGGCUCUUUUAGGGUCCGAGUUGUAAUUUGUAGAAGAUGCUUUGGGAAUGGUUCCGGUCUAAGUUCCUUGGAACAGGACGUCAUAGAGGGUGAGAAUCCCGUAUGCGACUGGUCGCCUGCCCCGUGUAAAGCUCUUUCGACGAGUCGAGUUGUUUGGGAAUGCAGCUCAAAAUGGGUGGUAUAUUUCAUCUAAAGCUAAAUAUUGGCCAGAGACCGAUAGCGCACAAGUAGAGUGAUCGAAAGAUGAAAAGCACUUUGGAAAGAGAGUUAAACAGUACGUGAAAUUGUUGAAAGGGAAGCGCUUGCAACCAGACUUGCACGUAGCUAAUCAUCUGGUGUUCUCACCGGUGCACUUGGCUAUGUUCAGGCCAGCAUCGGUUCAGGUGGUGGGAUAAAGGCCUUGGGAAUGUAGCUUCUUUCGGGGAGUGUUAUAGCCCUCGGUGCAAUGCCGCCUACCUGGACCGAGGACCGCGCUUCGGCUAGGAUGCUGGCGUAAUGGUUGUAAGCGACCCGUCUUGAAACACGGACCAAGGAGUCUAACAUCUAUGCGAGUGUUUGGGUGUCAAACCCAUACGCGUAAUGAAAGUGAACGGAGGUGAGAACCCUUAAGGGUGCAUCAUCGACCGAUCCUGAUGUCUUCGGAUGGAUUUGAGUAAGAGCAUAGCUGUUGGGACCCGAAAGAUGGUGAACUAUGCCUGAAUAGGGUGAAGCCAGAGGAAACUCUGGUGGAGGCUCGCAGCGGUUCUGACGUGCAAAUCGAUCGUCAAAUUUGGGUAUAGGGGCGAAAGACUAAUCGAACCAUCAGACUUGCUACUAGGUGGUUGAGAGACGCGCGAAAAGCGUGGAUCUAGCUCUGUGCAGUGAGCAACAUUAUCAAAUUGCGGGGACCUCCUGUUAACAUCCAAUGCUACCGCCGCUCCGUCGAAAGUCGAGCUGGCACCGGGUUAGUGACCCUGGGUAUGGUAAUAACGCAUUGGAUAUACGGAAAAUCCGCAGCAAACUCCCUACGGGUGCGUCCUACGGGGUCUGUCCACAGACUAAAUGAUAAUGGGUACCGUCAAAUACGGUGCUUAAGAUAUAGUCGAUCCCCCGGGAGACCGGGCCUUGGGAUUCCCAAGGGAGACACUCGUGUCUCGGGGAAGCACCUCUUACGAGGCCGCUUCAAAUGCUAGUAGCUGGUUCCUGCCGAAGUUUCCCUCAGGAUAGCAGUGUUGAAUUCAGUUUUAU
rnacentral:rRNA from 1 species